AGGGUUAACGCUGGCGGUGCGCAUAACACAUGCAAGUCGAGCGAGGGCUUAUUUCUCGCAAGAGAGAUGAGUUCCUAGCGGCGAACGGGUGAGUAACACGUGGGUAACCUUUCCUAUCGCGGGGGAUAACAGCGGGAAACCGCUGCUAAUACCGCAUGUCGUCACCGGCUCAUGGUUGGUGAAGAAAGCAGCAAUGCACGAUGGGGUGGGCCCGCGGCCUAUCAGCUAGUCGGUGGGGUAACGGCCUACCGAGGCGAUGACGGGUAGCUGGUCUGAGAGGACGACCAGCCACACGGGGGACUGAGACACGGCCCCGACUCCUACGGGAGGCAGCAGUGAGGAAUCUUCCGCAAUGGGCGAAAGCCUGACGGAGCGACACCGCGUGUGGGAUGAAGUCCUUCGGGAUGUAAACCACUGGUCGGAGGGGAAGACAUCGACGGUACCCUCCAAGAACGCCCCGGCUAACUACGCGCCAGCAGCCGC
rnacentral:rRNA from 1 species